CCAGCUACUCGGGAGGCCGAGGCAGGAGACUGGCAUGAACCCGGGAAGGGAGACUGGGACUCCCUCUAUCACCCAUGUUGGAGUGUGCUGGCCUGAUCAAAACACACUGCAACCUCAGAAUCCUGGGCUCAAGCAAUCCCCCCGUCUCAGCCUCCCAAAGUGUUGGGAUGACUUGCUUGAGCUGCCAUGCCCAGCCUCUCCCUAAUUUUUCUAAGCCAGCCUGUAGAGGCUGGGAAUCAGCCCUGGCCAUUCAGGGAAUCCGUGGAGGGUGGCCCGGGCCCAGCAGGCUACCCUCUGACUGCUUUGGGCCGAGACACAAGUUGGAGUGAGACCCUGACCAGGUGGCAUCUGGUCCGGUAGGGGAAGGUCCAGGUCCGGCGCAGUCCCACCGGUGGUCGGGCGCCACUUUGUGAUCACUCUGAUAUCGUCCCCGGAGCUCGGUUGUCGCGUGUGUGGGACAAGAUCCGGCCGGAGAGCCCAGGACAGUGUUCCAGGAGACCGAAGGAGAUGGCAAGGUCUUCUCGGCCGGCCACACGCGGUGCUGCAUAAUGGACUCUCCUGAGAUAGUUACUGCGGGAUCCGGGGGAGCCUGAGAUCAUUACUGCGGGAUGGGAAUCUUUGAGAAUCGCGGAAGAAGAGUGGCGUAUGAAGGUCCCUCUGCCCUUGGAGACCGACUGGUGCCGUCGCAGGUUCAUGUGGGACCCGAACCAGGCGGUGUAGACUGGGGAAAGUGCCUGUCUGGUGAGGUCCGGCGGGUGUUCGAGCGCCACCUAGGGUCAGUCUGAUGCCAUCCCCUGAGCUUGGCUGCCGCGUGUAUGGGAAGUGAUCUGGCUGCAAACCGCAAGAGAGAGUUCCAGGAGGUCGCCGGCGAUGACAGAGUCUUCUCGGCUACGACACGCGCCGCCCCAUCAUGGGCUCUCCUGAGAUCGUUACUGCGUGUUGCGGGCGAGCAGUCUCUGAGAAUCUCGCGGGCUGAAUGUCGCAUGAGGUCCCCUCCGCCCGUGGGGACUGGCUGCUGCCGUCGCAGUUCUCAGGAGAUCUGAUGGUUUAAAGAUGUGCGGCACUUCCCACUUCGUGCUCUCUCCUGAUCCCUCCUGCUUCAAGUGAAGACUGACUCGAUCCCCAGUAGCCUUCCGCCUUGAUAAGUUUCCUGAGGCCUCCCAGCCUUGCUUCCUGUACAGCCUGCAGAACUGUGUGACCGUGGUGAUUGCUGGCAAUAGGGCACUGAAAAUACCACUGUUUUGAAGAGAAUUUUGUUUUAUGACAAAAUGUAAGUAUAAGAAUAAAAAACAUCUAAGGGAAAAAUACCAGAACAUUUAUGCACAUGCUAAUAUUGAGUCAGAAUGUAUCUUGACAAAAUGACAAAGUUGAUCUGAAUAUUCAUAACUGUAAUGGGAUAUUUUAAUAUAGCCUUUCAGGAAACGGGGAAGACAAUUAUUUGUUUUUGAACUAAUAGAGAUGGGGUCUUACUAUGUUGCCCAGGCUGGUCUCCAACUUCAGGCCUCAAGCAAUCCUGCCUCAGCCUCCCAAAUUGUUGGGAUUACAGCCAUGAGCCACUGCACCCAGAUGAUGAUAAUAUUUGAUAGUAUACAUGUUGUUUGGAAACAGUUAACAAAAUAUUUCUAAGAAACAUCUAAGAAGCUUUUGCUUCAAAUAAAUAAAAAAUGCAUUAUUUUAGUUGCAUACAACCAAACAUAAAUGAAAAUAAACCGAUGGAGAAUAUUCAGGAAUAGUUGGAAACACCCACAAUUUGUCUGAUAUGAGGAAGGUGAUUAUUCUCAAAUGGAAGGAUGGGGGAGAGUAGUCACUGUAUAAUGCAGUAAGAGAACAAACUCCCAUAUAGUUGUUUUUUUUUUUUUUUACUGUUUUACUGUAGCUGUCAUGGUGGAAUCAGGAAUACAUAGUCCCUAGUGGCAUUAACAGAACAAGAACCAUACAAAUUAAAGCUCAUAGAAACACAAAGGGAAGACAGAACCUCAGAGAACAAUGCCAACCAUGACAGUCUGAAAUAGAUGCUUGGGCCACACAUGAAGGCUAGAAGGAAAAUCCAAACUGUACGUGGAUCUUUGAUGCGGAGCUUGUGGAGACAACUGUGGAAACCAACACAUCUCUUUGAGAAUGGAAGUCAAGCAGCUCAGGGUGUUUUCAGGAUACUUUUGAUUGGCAGAGAAAAUAACCAGGAAAAUGAGCAGGAAGCAGGCUGUCUCCCUGUAUGGUGGGGUUCCAAUACCUGACUAAUGUCUUCUUCACUUCUGCCUGGCAAAUCUCAUGCAAGUGAGGCUAUAAGUGAAUUUCAACAUGGAUCUAUAAAGGGAACAGAUUCUAGGAAAUUUACCUGUGUCGACAGGUAGCAGGAGGGCCACGUCCAGCUCUAGAUUUUAUUGUCCUAUCACAGGUGUCCUUCCUGAAUUCAAACUCUACUAUUCAAAUCCCAGACAGAAUUAUAAAAAAAAGGCGAAAAUAAUAAUUCGCAUAAGAAUAUAUGAUAAACUUCACAUACUUACCAACUUAUGCCAGAUGUUUAAUAAAAAGGAAAAUGGAA